rnacentral:lncRNA from 1 species
AGAAAAUGUCAUGUCUUAUGAAGUAGCCUGCUCUGAAAUGUACUCUAGAUAGGCUAAGGCAACAUGUAGGUUCAUAGUCUACUUCAAAGGAGAUGCUCCAAACAUCUGGGCAUGGAUGGAAAAUAAGAGUCAGAAUAAAAAAUGAGGCGUUUAUUCACAGAAGCAUAGCUGUCACUCUGCACACCCCCAAAGUGAAAGCACAAAGAGAAAACUCAAAGAAGGAGGUGAAAGUAGUUCACUGUGGUGCAGAAAUGGAGUUUGGAAAUUGUUUGCAGGGGAUGAAGCCAUGACUGACUGGGAACUAACAGCACCCUUUAGUCUUGAAAUGAAUGUUUCUCAUGGCUAAAGAUUUGAAGCUUUCCAAGUACAAACAAACAAACACACCAAGAAAUCAACUGUGGCAAAUGAAUUCAAGCAUACAGCUAUGUGAAGAAACGGAUUAAGGCAAGGAACAUCCAAUAUUUCCCCAAGGUCAUUCAUUACAAGGCCCUGCCUCAGAUAACAUCUGUAUGAAUAAAAAGAACAUCUGUAUGGUACUAUAGUUUAGU